AGAGUUUGAUCAUGGCUCAGAACGAACGCUGGCGGCAGGCUUAACACAUGCAAGUCGAGCGCACCUUCGGGUGAGCGGCGGACGGGUUAGUAACGCGUGGGAACAUACCCUUUGGUACGGAAUAGCCUCUGGAAACGGAGAGUAAUACCGUAUGAGCCCUUCGGGGGAAAGAUUUAUCGCCAAAGGAUUGGCCCGCGUUAGAUUAGGUAGUUGGUGGGGUAAUGGCCUACCAAGCCUACGAUCUAUAGCUGGUUUUAGAGGAUGAUCAGCAACACUGGGACUGAGACACGGCCCAGACUCCUACGGGAGGCAGCAGUGGGGAAUCUUGGACAAUGGGGGCAACCCUGAUCCAGCCAUGCCGCGUGAGUGAUGAAGGCCUUAGGGUCGUAAAGCUCUUUCGCCUGUGAAGAUAAUGACGGUAGCAGGUAAAGAAACCCCGGCUAACUCCGUGCCAGCAGCCGCGGUAAUACGGAGGGGGUUAGCGUUGUUCGGAAUUACUGGGCGUAAAGCGCACGUAGGCGGACUGGAAAGUUGGGGGUGAAAUCCCAGGGCUCAACCCUGGAACUGCCUCCAAAACUAUCAGUCUAGAGUUCGAGAGAGGUGAGUGGAAUUCCGAGUGUAGAGGUGAAAUUCGUAGAUAUUCGGAGGAACACCAGUGGCGAAGGCGGCUCACUGGCUCGAUACUGACGCUGAGGUGCGAAAGUGUGGGGAGCAAACAGGAUUAGAUACCCUGGUAGUCCACACCGU
rnacentral:rRNA from 1 species